UACGGGGGGGGCAAGCGUUGUUCGGAAUUACUGGGCGUAAAGGGCUCGUAGGCGGCCAACUAAGUCGGAUGUGAAAUCCCCAGGCUUAACCUGGGAACUGCAUCCGAUACUGGAUGGCUUGAAUCCGGGAGAGGGAUGCAGAAUUCCAGGUGUAGCGGUGAAAUGCGUAGAUAUCUGGAGGAAUACCGGUGGCGAAGGCGGCAUCCUGGACCGGUAUUGACGCUGAGGCGCGAAAGCCAGGGGAGCAAAGCGGG
rnacentral:rRNA from 1 species